CUUUGCUCUGGUGCUUCCCAUCCAGUCCAACAAAAAAGCCCUCAAAGGCUCCAAGGGAUGGAUACCCUCACAGCCUCCUCUGUCCCCAGCAGGCCCUGGGUGCUCCAGUUCUUCAGAAACCUCUUUGGGGGCAGCAGGCAAGUGGUGCAGGAGGGGCAGAGGCCCAAGGAGGAAGCCCAGGAGAAAGAGGAGCUUGGAAGUCAGUUCCUGGAUUGUCCUCUUGGGCUGUCUGAUACGGAAGCAAUGUUGCCCACGGACCAAGAGCUGGGGGCUACUGAGACAUCUCCCAUUGAGAUUCAGGAGGGUGAGAGAGAGAGCCACACCGAAGAGCUGUCGCUGCUCAAGGGACGUAGUUUUCGAAAGGCCACCCCAAGAAAUAAGAAAAAGCUUUUCGGAUUGCUUAACUCAGGGGAGAUGGAGAUGGGAGGCUCUCAUGGUUUCACUGGCACAAUGAUAGGUCAGUUGGUAGAGCAUCCAUGCGAAACGGUCCCAGCCGCAGGAGAGAAGAAUAAUGAGCCUGGUGACAGAGAAACACUGGGAAAGGAUGAGGUGUCACAGGUUCUACACGCAGCUGAUGGAAUCUCCAUGGCUGUGGGAUCCAUUGCAGAUGUUAAGGACUGUAGUGCUGAAGAAGAAAAAGAACAUCUGCUGAAAGAGGAUGUACAAACAGAGGCUCCAAAAACAGAGCUUUCUCCCUGGAACAGACUCAUCAAUAUGUAUAAGCAACGUCGGAGACUUCCUGCUCCAAAGUCUCAUCACCAGGAUAUUUCAGCACAACCAUUAAUCGAAGGUGAAACCACACUGGACCUAAUGGUAUUUGGAAUUGCAGCAUCUAAGGACCAUGUCCCCUUAACAAAGCCCUGUGGGGCUGGCUCUGCCUAUGGGUAAGAGUGUUCCUGAAAAUGAGGCCGGAGAAAUUGCUGGUGAUUGUGAGAUAACACAGAGAAAUCUGGGAUUAAAUGAUGCAGAAAGCUUGGAGCACCCUAAGAAUGUGUACUGAAAACGUGUGGCUGGAGUCAUCGUGAGUCUGCCAACAGUGUACUUCUGUACUUUGCUCACUGGAAGAUGACCUACUGAGAAUUUUUAUUUGUAACCUGCAAGGACUGAUUCAAUCCCUUUACUUGUUUUUGUGGAUUCUUCUUUCCUCUCUUCUUUCUUAACCAAAUACAUAGCCCUUGCCCCCUUUGCUUUGCUCUCUUUGGUAUAAGCCUAUAACUCCAGCAGGUAUGUGCUUUUAGAAUAUUUUUCAGGUUGCUGGAUUGCUCAAUUUUCCCUUCCCCAAAUAAUGUUGCCUCUUUUUCCCCCACUCAGCUCAUUAAAUGGAUUUUUACAGUGAAUUCAUAUCCUUUGUGUUCUUUGGUGUGUAGGUGGGUGUUUUUAACUUCAUGCAUUAAAAGAACAAGUAAUAGUUUGACGUUUCUUUGAUCACAGAGGCAAAAUG